rnacentral:rRNA from 1 species
AAUGAACGCUGGCGGCGUGCUUAACACAUGCAAGUCGAACGGAGAACGGCCCUUCGGGUGUCAGCUAAGUGGCGCACGGGUGAGUAAUGUAUAGCUAACGUGCCCCAUGGAGAGGGAUAACAGUUGGAAACGACUGCUAAUACUUCAUACUCCGUUUUGACACAAGUUGAAACGGGAAUGUUUUUCGCCAUGGGAUCGGGCUAUAUUGUAUCAGCUAGUUGGUGGGGUAAAGCUUACCAAGGCUAUGACGCAUAGCUGGUCUGAGAGGAUGAUCAGCCACACUGGAACUGAGACACGGUCCAGACUCCUACGGGAGGCAGCAGUGGGGAAUAUUGCACAAUGGGGGAAACCCUGAUGCAGCAACGCCGCGUGGA